rnacentral:lncRNA from 1 species
CCCGCGGGGCCCCAGCCCGUUAGGUUCUCUACGAACAUUAGUAGUCUUUGUGACAUGUACAUGUACGAUGUUCCGUGACAUGUACGAAACUUAUGUUAGAAUCAUCAACGAAGUUAUGUAACAGUUAUUAAUAAUAAUAAUCGUUGAAUUAUACUAAGGGAAAUGCUGCGUACUACAUUAUCUAUGGCCCUUUCUUCUAUCCUCCUAUGUCAGAAGCUUGUAUCCUCACUAUCGUUACUAAAUUCACAUGUGGCCGGUCAGCCUUAAGGUUAGGUGCUUGUUUCUUUAUUACAUGCAGUAGACACCUUUGCUUGUUUCGAAGGGAUGCAAUGCAGUUAGAUGCGAAGUGGGGGCCGGUGCGUGCAGCAGUUGGUCUCUGGCCUGGCAGGGGUUGACCCUGGCUGCAUCCUUGCAUGAUGGGCGGCAUCUUUGUAUCGCAUCGUCGGUGUUUGCAAUGUGGACGGUGGAUAGAUCGACAGAUUUUGGAAAGGGCAAUACCGAUCUUUCCGUUGCUUUGUCCUGCAAGCAAGCAAGGCGCUAGCCUCAAUAAUCUACAAGGCAAUAGUGCCACCAGUUAGUAUGGCGACGACAUGAGUAGAAGAAAUCGACUGUUCCAGCAUAUAUUCCACGAAACGGCGUAAUGACAUACCUUUAAUUAUUUAGCCAGCCUUUUGCAGCAGCAGCUGCUAUUGUAUUAUUAUGGCUGGUUGCAAAACAAAUUGCGGGUGCGAGGCGAAGUGCACUCUUAAGUACGGCUAGAGUCGCAACUCGCAACUCGCAAGGAACGCGCAAAAUCUCGUUCACCUUUUUACGGGAAUACAUACGUGAUUCACGCCUGUAGGGAGUAAUCACUGCACAUUUGUGGCUUCCGUGUCUGCCGAUUGCAAACGCAAAUAUGUCUGAAGUGGCUUGCGGUCUAAAUGUCGUCAGUCAGAGCAAUGCAAUGUAGCUUGUCAUACGCACGAGCUCGCUCAGGCCUCAUCUAGUAACGACAUGCAAGUUCGUAUCAGUAUUUGCUGAUGGUCCUUCUGGUGGUUCCGAGACAUUCGCCACUUGGGGAGUCUAAUGGCAGAUUUCCCAGUGGUUGCGGGUUCUAAGCCUUCCCUUUGGAUUUGCUUUUGGCUGUCUUGCUGACUUGCGUUGCCUGAUUUGUGCACGGUCAGCU